rnacentral:lncRNA from 1 species
UAUGCAGAUACCCUGCCCUCAAGGAGGGGACCGUGACUCCCCCACUCCUUAGGUGUGGGCUCUGCACCAUCACUUCCUUCCCAAGAGUGUGGUAUGGAAGGCAGGUGGUAACUGUCGAGGGGGGUGAUGACUAUCUGGGCUGGUGGCGGUAGCAGGUAGGGGGAGCAUAAAAGAAUCUCCCAAGACAGUUGUAGAUAAUGAAGGGCAGACUUAUUAGAGAAAAUAGGAAAACACGUUGCGAGGAGGAAAUGGGCAGACUCAGCAGAAGAGGAGCUGACUGCCAGGAUUCAAAGGCUUGCUAGAGGUUUUACAGGGUGGUUCUUGGGCUGCAGAGGGCUGCGUGCAGUACUGAUAACACCAGGGUUGCAGGGAGCUACCUUGCAUUUUUCUAUCAGCCGAGGGUCUGGUGACAGCUGAGCACAGGAAGACUGAGUUAUCUGUGCAGGAGGGCUGUGUGUCCUGCACCAUGAAGAAGGGUUGACUUGUCUCAUCUGCUGCUUCUUUUUACUUCCUCUGCGCCCUGCAGCCUGACUCCUUUUCCCUAGUUAGAACCCCACAGUGAUUUCACAGCAGAGAUGCCUGACGGCAUGACCUCAGCCAGGGGCCAAGGUCAACGUCAGCAAGGACAGCCGUGUCGAGAGCGCACCCCCUGUGUAGGAUGUGUAUGCCGGUGGUGCGCUGCCUCUCUGCUUUCUUCCCCCAGCGCAUAACACCAGUCACUCAUGAGAAAAAGAGCACAUCCCAAGAGCAGGGCAUCCUGCAGAAUGUCUGAC